rnacentral:rRNA from 1 species
AGAUUGAACGCUGGCGGCAGGCCUAACACAUGCAAGUCGAGCGGUAGAGAGGUGCUUGCAUCUCUUGAGAGCGGCGGACGGGUGAGUAAUGCCUAGGAAUCUGCCUAGUGGUGGGGGAUAACGUUCGGAAACGGACGCUAAUACCGCAUACGUCCUACGGGAGAAAGCGGGGGACCUUCGGGCCUCGCGCCAUUAGAUGAGCCUAGGUCGGAUUAGCCAGUUGGUGAGGUAAUGGCUCACCAAGGCGACGAUCCGUAACUGGUCUGAGAGGAUGAUCAGUCACACUGGAACUGAGACACGGUCCAGACUCCUACGGGAGGCAGCAGUGGGGAAUAGUUGGACAAGUGGGCGAAAGCCUGAUCCAGCCAUGCCGCGUGUGUGAAGAAGGCCUUGGUUGUAAACGUCCCUUUUAGUA